UUGCAGUAGAAAUAGUCCAAACUGUGGAAACUUCUUCCCACAACAUGACCAUGGCCCAAGCUCUUGGGUGGCUGUUGUUGCUUCUCUUCUGUUCCUCUGCUCAGAGUUUUCUCUGGAGACGGACUCGUGGUACCUCUGAGAGCAAAGGGGUGCACCCUACUCGUGUUUAUUCUUUCUGGCAAAAGUUGGACCACUUUAGCAAAAAUUCUUCACAGUUAUGGCUACAGAGAUAUUUUCUUAACGAUGCCUUCUACAAACCUGGAGGGCCAGUAUUUCUGAUGACUGGAGGGGCGUGGAUUGCCCGUGGAUCCUGGAUAUCAAUAAAUAGAACCUGGGUUACAUAUGCUGAGAGAUUGGGUGCCCUCUUCUUAGUCCUGGAACACAGGUUUUAUGGACACAGCCAACCAACAGGAGAUCUGAGUACUGCCAGCCUCCAUUACCUCAGCAGCAGGCAAGCUUUGGCUGACAUUGUGAACU